CGGUGUUGUUAUAAUAUGUUUUGCGUUGUUUUAUAUAGAUUUACGGUUUUUACAUUGUUUUACGUUAUUUUACGUUGCUUCACGUUGUUGUAUAAAACAGUUUUAAGUUUUUUACGUUGUUUUACAUUGUUUUACGUUGGUUUGGAAUGUAACACAACUCAAUUCAAUUAUAUUAUAGAUCUUUGAAUUUGUAAUGUUGAUCGUUCAACGGUCCAAUCUCGACUCUCGACUGUCUUGACAAUCUCGUCUACGCACGAGCACCCACGAUUGCCUUUGUCGAUGAAAUUGACUGGAUAGCAACAAGUGCAGAUUGCUCAUCCGAACCAACAAAGAGAUUUCGAGCAGAACUGCUCGCCAGAAUGGACGGAUUGCUAACCACCGAUGACCGUAAUGUUGUACUGUGUUGGCUGCCACUAAUGUGCCGCGGAAUCUAGAUGCAGUAUUGUUGAAAUGUAUAGAUACAUAUAUCUGUUAGCUAGAUCACAGUUGGCAUGCUCAAAAGACUUACAUUUCGACGGUGGUAGAGGAACAGGUAUUGCGAAGCUUUGUAGGUAAAAUCUUACGUGAUUAUUCUGGAUCUGAUAUCAGAAAACUUUGCCAGCGAGCUUGGUAUUAUCAGGUUAAUCCAAAAAAGUGUUCAGAGGAAAACCAAGUAUCAUUAACAAAUGUUACUUAUGAAAUAACGUCUUUGGGAUAUUUGGAAUCCGCAUCAUUAAAUAUGCGUCCUAUAACCAGAUGUGCGGAAAAAUAUUGGAGCUGUCAUGUAAAUAAUGGAGAGUGAUGCUAGGAUAAUUUAUUAAUACGAAUAACAAAUACUUAUACAAUCAACA